rnacentral:rRNA from 1 species
UACGAAGGGUGCAAGCGUUACUCGGAAUUACUGGGCGUAAAGCGUGCGUAGGUGGUGAGUUAAGUCUGUCGUGAAAGCCCCGGGCUCAACCUGGGAAUGGCGAUGGAUACUGGCUCGCUAGAGUGCGGUAGAGGAGAGUGGAAUUCCCGGUGUAGCAGUGAAAUGCGUAGAGAUCGGGAGGAACAUCAGUUGCGAAGGCGGCUCGCUGGGCCGUUCCUGACGCUGAGACGCGAAAGCUAGGGGAGCGAACAGG